UACGGGGGGGGCAAGCGUUGUUCGGAAUUACUGGGCGUAAAGGGCUCGUAGGCGGCCAACUAAGUCAGACGUGAAAUCCCUCGGCUUAACCGGGGAACUGCGUCUGAUACUGGAUGGCUAGAGGUUGGGAGAGGGAUGCGGAAUUCCAGGUGUAGCGGUGAAAUGCGUAGAUAUCUGGAGGAACACCGGUGGCGAAGGCGGCAUCCUGGACCAAUUCUGACGCUGAUGAGCGAAAGCCAGGGGAGCAAGCGGG
rnacentral:rRNA from 1 species